AUCGUACCCCAAACCGACACAGGUGGUCAGGUAGAGAAUACCAAGGCGCUUGAGAGAACUCGGGUGAAGGAACUAGGCAAAAUGGUGCCGUAACUUCGGGAGAAGGCACGCUGAUAUGUAGGUGAAGCCCCUGCGGGCGGAGCUGAAAUCAGUCGAAGAUACCAGCUGGCUGCAACUGUUUAUUAAAAACACAGCACUGUGCAAACACGAAAGUGGACGUAUACGGUGUGACGCCUGCCCGGUG
rnacentral:rRNA from 3 species